rnacentral:rRNA from 1 species
UUCCGGUUGAUCCCGCCGGACCCGACUGCUAUCGGAGUGGGGCUAAGCCAUGCGAGUCGUACGCUUCUUGACUGCAAGAGGCGUGGCGAACGGCUCAGUAUAACACGUAGCUAACUUAACCUAAAGACGUGGAUAACCCCGGGAAACUGGGACUAAUCCACGAUAGAUCAAGGCUCCUGGAAUGGGCUUUGGUCSAAAGGGAUGGACAAGCAUGUUUUGUCCAUCUGCUCUAAGAUAGGGCUGCGGCCGAUCAGGUUGUUGGUGGGGUAAUGGCCCACCAAGCCUAUAACCGGUACGGGACUUUGAAAGAAGGAGACCCGGAGAUGGACACUGAGACAAGGGUCCAGGCCCUACGGGGCGCAGCAGGAUUCGAAACCUUCGCAAUACGCGAAAGCGUGACNAGGUCACUUCNAGUGCCACUCGCUGAGGGUGGCUUUUCCCAARUCUAAAAAGCUUGGGGAAUAAGGGGAGGGUAAGUCUGGUGUCAGCCGCCGCGGUAAUACCAGCUCCCCGAGUGGUCGGRACGUUUAUUGRGCCUAAAGCAUCCGUACCCGGUCUUGUARGUCUUCUGUUAAACCCAACGGCCCAACCGUUGGACUGCAUAAGAUACCGCA